GUGUGACUCACAUGUUUAAGGGGAUGCUGUUAUAAACAGAUCUACUACACUGACAACUGUAUAAAAGCAUAGUGCCUACAAUUAUGUACAGUACAUUGUACUAUACACUUUAUCAUCAUUUUAGAAUGUGCUACUUCUACUUAUAAGAUAAUUUUUACUGUAAAACAGUAUACCGUGGCACACUGGAAGAAGCCACCUAUAUUUGAGGCUGACUGCAUUUCUUGAGGACAUCAAGAAGCCAUGUUCAGCGGUGGACCUGUACCAUCUAAUUCUGUGUGCAAACCCAACUGGGAUGAGCUGCUAAGGAUUAAAAAGAGGCUGGUAUUGAGGUUGGAACCUGAGAAGCACAAGAACACUUUACUGUACCUCUUCUCUCCAAUAAUUCCUGUGCAAAAACCAAACCAAAC
ensembl:lncRNA